CCUACGGGUGGCAGCAGUGAGGAAUAUUGGUCAAUGGGCGCGAGCCUGAACCAGCCAAGUCGCGUGAAGGAUGAAUGUCCUAAGGGUUGUAAACUUCUUUUAUCAAGGGAUAAAGUGAGGCACGUGUGCCUUUUUGUAUGUACUUUAUGAAUAAGGAUCGGCUAACUCCGUGCCAGCAGCCGCGGUAAUACGGAGGAUCCGAGCGUUAUCCGGAUUUAUUGGGUUUAAAGGGAGCGUAGAUGGGUUGUUAAGUCAGUGGGGAAAGUUUGCGGCUCAACCGUAAAAUUGCAAUUGAUACUGGCAGCCUUGAGUACAGGUGAGGUAGGCGGAAUGCGUGGUGUAGCGGUGAAAUGCUUAGAUAUCACGAAGAACUCCGAUUGCGAAGGCAGCCUACUAAACUGCCACUGACAUUGAUGCUCGAAAGUGUGGGUAUCAAACAGGAUUAGAUACCCGGGUAGUC
rnacentral:rRNA from 1 species